ensembl:lncRNA
UCUACCCCCACCUCCUCUUCUCUCUCACUCAUUCUCCAUCUCUCGCUCACACACACACGCGCCAAACACUCUCUCUCUCCUCCUCUGCCUCUCUCUCUCCGUCUGUCUCUCCCUCCCUCAGCUUCACUCGCUCUUGUGCUGUAAGUUCAUUUGCUGUGUCAAGCAACAACUGGCUCGGGAGUGGGCAGUGGGUUUUGAUCCUUUUGUCAAGCAUCCCCCCUGCGAGUGUGUACCGCGUCCACCUGCGCACCACGGGACUGGCCGCCUGGCUCUCUCUAACAUCGCCGCACCGUCCUGGGUUUAUCACGAUCAGGCAUCCCACCUUGCUGAGAUGGGCGGCACGAUGAGAUGCUGAAGGUUUGACGGGGCGAACCCGCUACUGUGGACUAUCAUCAUCACCAUCAUCGGAAUCAUCGCAGUGGCAAUGGGAGUCAGGACAUGGAUGCUAGCCGGAGGAUCUCCGCAGGGUCCUUGCAUCCCAGAAUUGUUCAUGCCGUUGAUUUCAAACCGUUAUUUGGCUAUCCUUGGAUCCUCAAACAGCCCAGCAAGAGCUUGUGCCUCUGUCCUAAAGACUUUAAGGCUUCCAGCUGUCAUUACUUUCUCUAAAACCAACCAAUGGACCAUUGAGAGCCAAGCCAGCACUAACCGGUAUUUUUGGACAGUGGAAGCUCUGAGUUGCCACCGAACGAGGGAUGAAUAAAGAACACAGAGGGGGACGCUGCCUGGUGGGACAGGAAGUAGAGACGCAGAGGGGAGCAACUUCACCUGCUGAUCACCUUCAGUCUGACCAGUGGAACUGGCCUCUGAUUGGACAUGUCUGAUAGCCCAUCCAAUUGAUGGGAAUGGGAGAGAGAGAAAGGAAGAGGAACCUGAUGACAGUUCCCUGCAGAGAUGAAACUCCUCAGAAGCGCUCAGAGAGAAGAUGACACUUCAUACCACAUCAUUUGAUAGGAUUCAGAGAGGGUUAUGGAUCCUGUC